UUAAGGAACAUUAGGUUGCUGCUAUGUAUUUUUCCUGGCCACAUUUUGGCUUGUCUUCCUUGUCAUUUCAGUUUUAACAGACAAACAUAUCAGUCAGGUAGUAGGUGUUUCUACAAGAAGCAAAUUCAGCAUUUCAGAAGUUUGAGAUGUAUGAGGGGGGGUUGAUAAAGAAAUUAUUCAGGAACUAUAAGCUGUCUGGAGUGUCCAAACAAUUCUCAAAAAACUCAGAAAGUCCUAUUAUGGAAGCCUUGCCCAUCAACCGGUAAAUACUCCAAAGUGUUUUUUAAAAUUCUUGACUCUGGAGUGCUCAUAUUUUGGAUCUCUAUCAACUGGUAAAACUUUGGAGGUCUAGGUUUCAACAUUAGCCUAUUUGGCAGGUGUUGUAUGCGCGAAGUAUCAGCUAAUCAACCUAGAAUCAACAAGUGGUCUAAUGGCUUGCUUUACUGCAUAUUUUAGCAGAAAGACACCACCUCCAACAAAGUACGGCAUAACAUUGGAGGAAGAGGUCUCAAACAUUCAGAACAUCAUAUUGUACUCUUAUAAAGAGCUGCGAAGUGCCUGUGAUAAUUUCGUGCAGUUAAUAAGAUUGGGAUGGGAGGUUUCCGUUCUGUUUACAAGAUAAGAGAACUUCACAAAUUCUCUUAUGAAUUUAUGUAUUGUUUGAAGAAUGUGAAUUAUUUCUAGCAUAUGAUUUCACUGUUUUCAUAUUCAGGGGAAGCUGAAGGUGGCACCAUGGUGGCAGUAAAAGUGCUUUCUGAGGGAUCAACUCAGGGCAUCCAGGAGUUCUUGACAGAGAUAACAAUGAUCUCUUCUAUACAACAUGAUAAUCUAGUUAACUCUCGCGCUGCUAGGUAACUCUACUAGUUCAGCUGGAAUGUAAGGAAGGAAAUUUGCAUUGAUCUAAUAUACUACUAGAACACACAAUGAGCAAAUAGUGCUGGGGGAAGACUGUAUUCAUCAUAAAAUUAUUUCAGAACUUCGCGGAGCUUUCUGUGCUGCGGUAAAGGAAUGUGAUAUUACGCACAAACUGCAGCUUUACUAUUAAAUUCAGGUGGUUAAUGUGUUGGCAACUUUCAGGUUAAUCACUAUGUUCUUUAUAUUAUUCUAGGUCUCGGAAUAUCAGUUGUAUAGGUAAUAUCUAUAUCAGUACAAAAAGAUUCAUUAGGAGAGUUCUCUUAAGUAUAAGAAUGUAAGAUUUAUAUAAACUACACUAUGAUUAAAAGGCCAAUACAUGUUGCAGCAA